rnacentral:rRNA from 1 species
UUCCCCUAGUACGGCGAGUGAGAGGGAAGAGCCCAAGAUUGAAAGCUGGCGCCUUCGGCGUCCGCAUUGUAAUCUCAAGAAGUGUUUUCCGCUUCGGACCAUGCCUAAGUCCCUUGGAAAAGGGCAUCAUAGAGGGUGAUAAUCCCGUACAUGGCAUGGAGCGCCCGAAGCUUUGUGAUACGCUUUCUAAGAGUCGAGUUGUUUGGGAAUGCAGCUCAAAAUGGGUGGUAAAUGCCAUCUAAGGCUAAAUAUUGGGGAGAGACCGAUAGCGAACAAGUACAGUGAUGGAAAGAUGAAAAGAACUUUGAAAAGAGAGUUAAACAGUACGUGAAAUUGCCAAAAGGGAAGGGUAGGAGGUCAGAGAUGCGUUCUAGGAUUCAGCCUUGCUUUUGCAUGGUGUUUUUUCUAGUUUGCAGGCCAACGUCGGUUUUGGGCACUGGAGAAGGGUGGAAGGAAUGUGGCACCUCUCGGGGUGUGUUAUAGCCUUCUACUGGAUACAGCGACCGAGACCGAGGACAGCAGCGUACUCGCAAGAGCGGGCCUUCGGGCACCUUUACGCUUAGGGCGUUG